rnacentral:lncRNA from 1 species
ACAGGCAUGAGCCACUGCGCCCGGCAAUAUCUAUUCUGUAUACAUUACGCGGUCUCAGGUAUUUUGUUACAGCAGCGCUGAGACAAGAUGCUUCAUCAAUAUUAGUCGAUUAUGUACCAGUGAAAUCUGGGGGAAAUUUCCCAUUUCAUUCCUGAAAUAUUGACGUGUGUACCUUAGACUGAGUUGAAUGUGAAUCUCUUGUUUCAUGAGUAAAACGCCUCCAUAAUAAUAUCUAUCAUUUAUUCAAUGCCUCCUCUGUGCCAGGCCUGUGCUGGGGGCUUUCUGAGAGGUCAUCUGAUGAGAUGCUCACAGAGGCGUUGAUAGAGGAGGACCUGGGAUGUCGAGAAGAGAAACCGCAUGAAGGCUUUUGCAGCUAGCAGCGGGCGCAGCGGAGACUUGACCCUGGCGAUCUCGGAGGCGUAUAUCAAGCUGUGUGUGCCCUGUCCUGCUUUUCUCACAGGCUGCUGGGAGGACAAACUCAAGUCAGGGAAGCAAAAGGGCUUUGUACACUAAAACUCUGUCCCAACAUGAGUUGUUUGUCUGUUUCAAAUUUUACCAGCAGAAACGUCUGUCUUACCCCACUCUCUCCACCCCAUUUCUCUCUGCCUC